rnacentral:rRNA from 1 species
CAACAGGGAUUGCCUUAGUAACGGCGAGUGAAGCGGCAAAAGCUCAAAUUUGAAAUCUGGCACCUUCGGUGUCCGAGUUGUAAUUUGAAGAAGGUAACUUUGGAGUUGGCUCUUGUCUAUGUUCCUUGGAACAGGACGUCACAGAGGGUGAGAAUCCCGUGCGAUGAGAUGCCCAAUUCUAUGUAAAGUGCUUUCGAAGAGUCGAGUUGUUUGGGAAUGCAGCUCUAAGUGGGUGGUAAAUUCCAUCUAAAGCUAAAUAUUGGCGAGAGACCGAUAGCGAACAAGUACAGUGAUGGAAAGAUGAAAAGAACUUUGAAAAGAGAGUGAAAAAGUACGUGAAAUUGUUGAAAGGGAAGGGCUUGAGAUCAGACUUGGUAUUUUGCGAUCCUUUCCUUCUUGGUUGGGUUCCUCGCAGCUUACUGGGCCAGCAUCGGUUUGGAUGGUAGGAUAAUGACU